rnacentral:tRNA from 1 species
GGGAAUGUGGCUUAGUGGUAGAGUGCUUGCCUAGCAUGCAUGAAACUAUGGGUUCAAUUCUUAGUACCA